rnacentral:rRNA from 1 species
AACGAACGCUGGCGGCGUGCCUAACACAUGCAAGUCGAGCGCGAAAAGGGCAACCUGAGUAGAGCGGCGCACGGGUGCGUAACACGUGGGUAAUCUGCCUCAAAGUCUGGGAUAACCUGCCGAAAGGUUGGCUAAUACCGGAUAAGCUCACGAGGUCUUCGGACUUUGUGGGAAAAGGUGGCCUCUGUUUACAUGCCAUCACUUUGAGAUGAGCCCGCGGCCCAUCAGCUAGUUGGCGGGGUAACGGCCCACCAAGGCUACGACGGGUAGCUGGUCUGAGAGGACGAUCAGCCACACUGGAACUGAGACACGGUCCAGACUCCUACGGGAGGCAGCAGUGGGAAUUUUGCACAAUGGGCGAAAGCCUGAUGCAGCAACGCCGCGUGUGUGAUGAAGGUCUUCGGAUCGUAAAGCACUUUCGACC